UCUUAUGUAGGAUGAUGCUUCUCUACAGUGGAUGAUGAAGACAUGCUGGUUACAAACCCAGGAGAGGAACAAAAAACCAGAUAUUGACCGGAUCACAUCUAGAGAUGCGGGCCUACUAUACACUUCAUGCGAGCAAGUGUGCUAAUAUACAAUAUUUGGGUUAUCAUUACAGCCCUUUCUUCUGAAAACUAGGCUACAACUGUAUUGAUGAAUGCAGGAGACAUCUACAUGGGACUACGUCUUAAGGAUGCCACCCUCAUAUAAUGAAAGAGGACAGUAGAGAUGGGUUUAAAUUUGAAUAUUUACAUGAUAUUUAUUUAUUAUUUGUAUUAUUAUGUUUGUACAAUACCACAUUCAAUAAAGCUAAUGAAUUUA
rnacentral:lncRNA from 1 species